rnacentral:rRNA from 1 species
UACAGAGGAUGCAAGCGUUAUCCGGAAUGAUUGGGCGUAAAGCGUCUGUAGGUGGCUUUUUAAGUCCGCCGUCAAAUCCCAGGGCUCAACUCUGGACAGGCGGUGGAAACUACCAAGCUGGAGUACGGUAGGGGCAGAGGGAAUUUCCGGUGGAGCGGUGAAAUGCGUAGAGAUGCGGAGGAACACCGAUGGCGAAGGCAGCCCCCUGGGCUAACACUGACGCUCAGGCACGAAAGCGUGGGGAGCAACAGG